UGUCACCUCCUCUACCUGUGCGGGCGCUGUUGUGGCCGUCAUCUUCUGGCCUUGAGGGGAACGAGCCGGCGAGCGGGAAGCAGCAGACGUCUUAGCAGUAAGAGCCUGGGUCAUCUUUGCCAGCACCACUUCGGAUAUGAGUUGGCGAUCCUCCGCCUGGUGAUCGCCGACCAGCUGCAUAGACGAUCCCACCACCUGAGCACACGCAAAGGAAAUGAGAGGGAAUCAAGUCAAUAGUUCGUAUUUGUGGUACACUUGACUUGCAACUGAAGUCAGCUGGGAUAGACUCAAGCCCUCCCCGCAUCCUUCAACAGGAUCAGAGAAGAUGGCGUAAAAACAAACACAGUGAUGGGAGAGGAAAUAACUGAAGAAAAGGUCAAACCUCCUCCUCGCCUCCCACUUACACAUGCUCUUAUGGAGGAUGAAUGCAUUGCUUUCAAAUGUCACCGCAGCAACCAGGCCAUUGCUGGAGAUGAGGUGACUCGUGAUCCACAAAAUAUGGGUGUGAUGCCGUUGUGUGGCAAUGUGUGCUCAAGUUCUUCUUCUGCUAUUGGUCUCUUCUACUUUAACUGAAUUUUCCGACAAUUUUCACACCUCAUUUCCCCACAAAAUUUCCUUUACCAAAUUUACCUUUAUCUGGUUUCCCCCAUGUUGCUGCUGGUUUACCUGUUAAUGACUUUAAGCUCAGCGCUGGGCUGUCUUUCGGUCUGGUUUUACCCUGUUCAUGGCCACAUCAAAGGUUUUAUGGCCUUCACGUGUGAGCCAAUUGCUUUUUCAGUUAUCCCAGUUGCAUAUAUUUUUUUUGUGAGCAAAUAAAUGGCUAAUUUUAGCAACACAAAAAUUAGUAUAAAUGCAUUACAGUUCUUGAUCCUUGCAAUAUUUUAACAAAAGUGUGUCAUAAAUAUUUGACUAAGAUACGUGGGAGGUGUUUCAAAUUCAGAAAAAAAAAUUGAAUCUGUCUCUUAUUUUUAAUAUUACAUUUUAGACUGUAUUGAGGUUAAAUUCAAUCCGUUUAUUCCCAGGCAGUCAACCUAUUGGUCCCAGUGGUGUAAAAUUAGGCCAGGCAAAAUUAAACGAGGCAAAAUUAAGCUUCCAAGACCAUACUUGUCCCACUGAUGCUCCACACACAUUUUCAUCCAGCCAGAAUAUAUAAAUACACUCAAGUGGCUUAUAAAUAUUCCUAUUGCUGUU